rnacentral:rRNA from 1 species
UCGGAACGUGCCCAGUCGUGGGGGAUAACUACUCGAAAGAGUAGCUAAUACCGCAUACGAUCUGAGGAUGAAAGCGGGGGACCUUCGGGCCUCGCGCGAUUGGAGCGGCCGAUGGCAGAUUAGGUAGUUGGUGGGAUAAAAGCUUACCAAGCCGACGAUCUGUAGCUGGUCUGAGAGGACGACCAGCCACACUGGGACUGAGACACGGCCCAGACUCCUACGGGAGGCAGCAGUGGGGAAUUUUGGACAAUGGGCGAAAGCCUGAUCCAGCAAUGCCGCGUGCAGGAUGAAGGCCUUCGGGUUGUAAACUGCUUUUGUACGGAACGAAAAAGCUCCUUCUAAUACAGGGGGCCCAUGACGGUACCGUAAGAAUAAGCACCGGCUAACUACGUGCCAGCAGCCGCGGUAAUACGUAGGGUGCGAGCGUUAAUCGGAAUUACUGGGCGUAAAGCGUGCGCAGGCGGUUAUGUAAGACAGAUGUGAAAUCCCCGGGCUCAACCUGGGGAACUG